AAUCCUAAUAAUGCUGAGCAAUAAUAGUAUAGAUAAACCUUUGGUCAUCCUUACACACAACAAAUCGAGACUUGCGGCUGUUUGUGGAAAACUAAGCAAAGAUUGUGAGAAGGCACUUGUCUGGACAGACAUUUUUUCUUUUGGUGGUGAAAGUUCUGUGGAGAUUACAGCAUUUCCUUUUUCGAACGGAAUUCAGAGCGUAAAGGGUUUGUGUUCAUAUAAGCAGAAGCACAGACAAACAGAAGUCAGGGUUGAGCAGAAGUCUGACAGUCUGCUUCAGACAGCACGCUGUAGGAAUGCAUUCCGACUUCCUCCCACCCACCACGUCUCUACAUGUUCAAUUUGGCGACCGUUGCUUAGUGACAGUGUGCCGCUGGCCCCCUGCUAUGUGGUUUUUGUGUCUUCACCGAGAUAAGAAGCCAUUUUCUAUGGAUCCACUGAUCAUCAUCUUCUCAAACCAGAAGGCUCGUUCCUACAAGCACAUCUGAGUCCUGCAAGCAGGUAAUUUGUGUUUAACUAUAUAUAUUUUUGUAUAACAUUUAUAAUUUUUAAAUUAAAUUUU
rnacentral:lncRNA from 1 species